rnacentral:rRNA from 1 species
AUGGCUGGAUUCGCUGAUGCACUGAGGCCGGAUAAGUUUACCGGUGUGCAUUUUAAGAGGUGGCAGGUGAAGACCACGCUCUGGCUUACUGCUCUAAAAGUUUUCCACGCUAGUGUUGGUGCUCCAGAGGGAAUGACCGACGAAGAUCGGAGAAAAUUCCAGGAAGCCAAUACUAUGUUUGUGGGAUGCAUUCUGAGUGUUCUUGCUGACCGUCUGUGUGAUGUGUACAUGCACAUAAACGACGGAAAAAUUCUGUGGGAUGCACUGAAUACAAUUCGGUGCAACAGAUGCAGGCAGUGA